rnacentral:rRNA from 1 species
AUUGAACGCUGGCGGCAGGCCUAACACAUGCAAGUCGAACGAGUGGCGGACGGGUGAGUAAUGUGUGGGAAACUGCCCGAUGGAGGGGGAUAACUACUGGAAACGGUAGCUAAUCCCGCAUACCAUCGGAUGUUCCCAGAUGGGAUUAGCUAGUAGGUGGGGUAAUGGCUCACCAAGGCGACGAUGCAUAGCUGGUCUGAGAGGAUGAACAGCCACACUGGAACUGAGACACGGUCCAGACUCCUACGGGAGGCAGCAGUGGGGAAUAUUGCGCAAUGGGCGAAAGCCUGAUGCAGCCAUGCCGCGUGUAUGAAGAAGGCCUUCGGUUUGUAAAGUACUUUUAGCGGGGAGGCGUUACCCGCACAAGAAGCACCGGCUAACUCCGUGCCAGCAGCCGCGGUAAUAC